rnacentral:rRNA from 1 species
CCUACGGGAGGCAGCAGUGAGGAAUAUUGGACAAUGGGCGCAAGCCUGAUCCAGCCAUGCCGCGUGCAGGAAGAAGCAUCUAUGGUGUGUAAACUGCUUUUGUACAGGAAGAAACACUCCCUCGUGAGGGAGCUUGACGGUACUGUAAGAAUAAGGACCGGCUAACUCCGUGCCAGCAGCCGCGGUAAUACGGAGGGUCCGAGCGUUAUCCGGAAUCAUUGGGUUUAAAGGGUCCGUAGGCGGUUUAAUAAGUCAGUGGUGAAAUCUGGUCGCUCAACGAUCAAACGGCCAUUGAUACUGUUAGACUUGAAUUAUAAGGAAGUAACUAGAAUAUGUAGUGUAGCGGUGAAAUGCUUAGAUAUUACAUGGAAUACCAAUUGCGAAGGCAGGUUACUACUUAUGGAUUGACGCUGAUGGACGAAAGCGUGGGGAGCGAACAGGAUUAGAUACCCUGGUAGUCCACGCCGUAAACGAUGGAUACUAGCUGUUCGGAGCAAUCUGAGUGGCUAAGCGAAAGUGAUAAGUAUCCCACCUGGGGAGUACGUUCGCAAGAAUGAAACCUNAAAUGAAUUGAGNGNGAGAGAGCGAGACGACGACGAGGGAGGAGG